rnacentral:rRNA from 1 species
AACGCACUGGAGGGCCGAACCCACGUAAGUUAAAAAUUGCGGGGAUGAGUUGUGGGUAGCGGUGAAAUUCCAAACGAACUUGGAGAUAGCUGGUUCUCUCCGAAAUAGCUUUAGGGCUAGCCUCGUGGAGAGGAUAAUGGAGGUAGAGCUCUGUUUGGACUAGGGGCCCGUCAGGGGUUACUGAAUCCAGAUAAACUACGAAUUCCAGAUAUCCAUACACGGGAGUCAGACUGCGAGUGAUAAGAUCCGUAGUCGAAAGGGAAACAGCCCAGAUCACCAGUUAAGGUCCCC